CUUAUCCAUUCAUAAAUUGAUGGGCACCUGGAUUGCUUCCAUGUUUUAGCUACUGUGAAUUAUGCUGCUACAAACGUGGGUGUACAAAUAUCACUUUGAGAUCCUGCUUUUAAUUAUUUUGAGUAUGUACCUAGAGGUGGAAUUGCCAGAUCAUAUGGUAUAUAUCCUUCUGUUUCUGACUUAUUUGA